UGCUCUGUUUCAUGCAACUUUGCCCAAAAACCUACAAACAUGCAUAGCAACUACUCCCAACUAGCAUAUACACAUAUAUAUGCACAAAGGGGUCGAAAACUACCCUAAAACCCCAAACAAACAUAGCACAUAACACUUAAACAUGCUUGAACACCACAAAUCACCAAAAACCUCACCUAAACCUAAACAUGCAUACUACCCAUUCAAACUUCA
rnacentral:lncRNA from 1 species